rnacentral:rRNA from 1 species
GACGAACGCUGGCGGCGUGCUUAACACAUGCAAGUCGAACGAAGAGCGAUGGAAGCUUGCUUCUAUCAAUCUUAGUGGCGAACGGGUGAGUAACGCGUAAUCAACCUGCCCUUCAGAGGGGGACAACAGUUGGAAACGACUGCUAAUACCGCAUACGAUCUAAUCUCGGCAUCGAGGAUAGAUGAAAGGUGGCCUCUACAUGUAAGCUAUCACUGAAGGAGGGGAUUGCGUCUGAUUAGCUAGUUGGAGGGGUAACGGCCCACCAAGGCGAUGAUCAGUAGCCGGUCUGAGAGGAUGAACGGCCACAUUGGGACUGAGACACGGCCCAGACUCCUACGGGAGGCAGCAGUGGGGAAUCUUGCGCAAUGGACGAAAGUCUGACGGAGCAACGCCGCGGGAGUGAUGACGGCCUUCGGGUUGUAAAGCUCUGUUAAUCGGGACGAAAGGCCUUCUUGCGAAUAGUGAGAAGGAUUGACGGUACCGGAAUAGAAAGCCACGGCUAACUACGUG